AACGCAUCUUGCGCCCAAGGGUAAUCCUUUGGGCACGCCUGUUUCAGUGUUAUGUUAAACCCAAACUUUUCAUUCUUUUUUUUUGAUUGAUUGAAAAUCUUUUGGUAAUGUAAUGUUGGGCUUGCCUUUUUAAUCUUUUGGAUUGAUUGGUCUUGCUUGGAAUGAUUUUUUAUUCCAGUCGGAUCAUAAUUUCAUUCAGAUUUGACUUUGGUAGACUACCGAAAGUUGUGUUUGAUUUGAGAUUAGGACUCGAGUUUUAGUUGGAAUAUGACUUUUUCAAUAUUUAACCUGAAAUCAGGCGGGACUACCCGCUGAACUUAA
rnacentral:misc_RNA from 1 species